UACGUAGGGCGCAAGCGUUGUCCGGAAUUAUUGGGCGUAAAGGGCUCGUAGGCGGUCCGUCACGUCGGGAGUGAAAACUCGGGGCUCAACCCCGAGCCUGCUUUCGAUACGGGCGGACUAGAGGUAGGUAGGGGAGAUUGGAAUUCCUGGUGUAGCGGUGGAAUGCGCAGAUAUCAGGAGGAACACCAAUGGCGAAGGCAGAUCUCUGGGCCGUAACUGACGCUGAGGAGCGAAAGCAUGGGGAGCGAACAGG
rnacentral:rRNA from 1 species